rnacentral:sRNA from 1 species
AAUUAGCACGCGUUAAGGAUUGAAGUGGCAUCCUUUUUAGUUGUCAGUUCGAGUGAAUUUGAGAAGUAUGAACAAAUUUGUAUCGAGAACAAAACUAAAAAGAUAGAACGGAAAGCCUGUUAAAAC